UUGGCCCUGGGUAUGUGCGAUCGAGAGAGAGAGAGGUCAGGGGACACCUUUUUCCUCAAAAACCUAGCAAAAUAAUCAUCAAAUUAAAUGGGUUUAAGGCUGAAUUUGCAAUGCAUGAGCAAGGAACUUUGAUCUCCUAAGUAUUCUUGACAUCAAGGUCGAAGAAAGGAGGGGAAUCAAACCAAGCAAAGGCAAUAGGAGCGCACGACUCCGGGUCGAAGAAAGGAGGGGAAUCAAACCAAGCAAAGGCAAUAGGAGCGCACGACUCCGGUGAAUCUCACUCUUGGUAAUGGCGAGCUUGGAUCGAACACACCACAUCGCCCUUUAUGCGCUUCCGGUUAAAGUUGUCUUUGUAAAUGGGUCAAAACACUUUCAUAAUGUAAAUGUUAAAUUUAUGUCUAGGAUGUUUUGUAGGUAAGUUAGAAUUUUAAAUCUUAUUUUGGUAGUUCGGACAAAACGCUUUUGAUGGAAUCUUGUAUGGUUACAACUUUUAUGUCUUUUGAAACGUGUCGUAGAAUUUAGUUUGAAUAGUGAUUGUUAAAAGCAGAGAAUUGCUUAUAAUACGAACGGGUCAUGCCCAAUUUUUGUUAAAA